UUACCUCGCAAGGGGUAACUGAGUGGCGAACGGGUGAGUAACACGUGGGUGACCUACCUUCGAGUGGGGGAUAACGUCCCGAAAGGGACGCUAAUACCGCAUAACAUCCUGCCUUUGAACAGGUGGAGAUCAAAGCCGGGGAUCGCAAGACCUGGCGCUUGAUGAGGGGCCCGCGCCUGAUUAGCUAGUUGGUGGGGUAAUGGCUCACCAAGGCGACGAUCAGUAUCCGGCCUGAGAGGGCGGACGGACACACUGGGACUGAGACACGGCCCAGACUCCUACGGGAGGCAGCAGUGGGGAAUUGUUCGCAAUGGGCGCAAGCCUGACGACGCAACGCCGCGUGGAGGAUGAAGGUCUUCGGAUUGUAAACUCCUGUUGCUCGGGACGAAAAGCUUCGACCUAACACGUCGAAGUCUGACGGUACCGAGUGAGGAAGCCCCGGCUAACUCUGUGCCAGCAGCCGCGGUAAUACAGGGGGGGCAAGCGUUGUUCGGAAUUACUGGGCGUAAAGGGCGCGUAGGCGGCCUGCUAAGUCGAACGUGAAAUCCCUGGGCUCAACCCAGGAACUGCGUCCGAUACUGGUUGGCUUGAAUCCGGGAGAGGGAUGUGGAAUUCCAGGUGUAGCGGUGAAAUGCGUAGAUAUCUGGAGGAACACCGGUGGCGAAGGCGACAUCCUGGACCGGUAUUGACGCUGAGGCGCGAAAGCCAGGGGAGCAAACGGGAUUAGAUACCCCGGUAGUCCUGGCCCUAAACGAUGAAUGCUUGGUGUGGCGGGUAUCGAUCCCUGCCGUGCCGAAGCUAACGCAUUAAGCA
rnacentral:rRNA from 1 species